GACGAACGCUGGCGGCGUGCCUAAUACAUGCAAGUAGGACGCAGUUGCGAACGGGUGGGUAACGCGUAGGUAACUACCUAUUAGAGGGGGAUAACUAUUGGAAACGAUAGCUAAUACCGCAUACUAGUAGGUGGACCUGCGUUGUAUUAGAUAGUAGGUAGGGUAAUGGCCUACCUAGGCAACGAUACAUAGCCGAACGUAGAGGGUGAUCGGCCACACUGGGACUGAGACACGGCCCAGACGUCUACGGGGGGGAGCAGUAGGGAAACUUCGGCAAUGGGGGGAAACCUGACCGAGCAAAGACGCGGGAGUGAAGAAGGUUUUCGGAUCGUAAAGCUCUGUUGUUAAGGAAGCGGUACUUAACCAGAAAGGGACGGCUAACUACGUGCCAGCAGCCGCGGUAAUAC
rnacentral:rRNA from 1 species